AAGAUGGGGAUGAAGCUAAACACAAAUAAUCCAACACUUGAUCUGAGAUGUCUAUCGAGUGAUGCUAAACUAAGUUGCUUCUGAAUCUGC